UGAGGCGCGCAUGAGGCGCGCAUGAGGCGCGCAGGUGGGCCUGUGUCCGGCAGACUUACCUUGGACUCUCACGGCCAUGAGCGGCUUGACCAGCAUACGGCAGCCAGAGGAAUAGUCAGGGCCCUAGAAGAGGCAGGAGGGGUCGGCCAGGCCACGGAGGAAGGUCAGGAUCAGGCAGCACCAGAAUCUGAAAAGACAUUCCAGGAUGCUGUUUGCUGGAUUUGAACAGGACUAUGAUGGGACUCAAGGAACAUUCCACCCUACCAGGAGAGGAUGAAGAGGGCACCGAGGGCAGAGGUUCUACAGCCACUGGUGAGUCUUUGCUGGAGGAAAAGGUAGGAAGGCAGUGGAGUAAACCCAAAGCAACAGCUUUCACCAGCCAUUACUUAUCAAGUUAACUCAAAUGCCUGGUUUACUGGAAUUGGAAUACUCAGUUGAGCUGGGCCUGGGAAGGUUUCAGGAGAAAAGAAAGAAUGCUACUUUGCAAAUGGACCCUUACUGUGUCUCACCAGUCCAUUUGUUGGUGGCAUGGAUUGGGUAGGCUGGUCCCGCCCACUCUCGGGACCCAACUGGCCUCUUUGCAUGCAGCCAGCCUCUUGUUCAUCAGAGCAGUGGGAGGUGAGAGGAGGUAAGCUAAUGCACAACUAGCUGCCAGGAGAAAAGAUGGGAGAAAAAAAGCUAAAGAAAUAUAGUAUUUCAAUCAAAGUCUAAAAUUUGUAAAAGUGGUUUUGGUCUCCAUAUAGUAAAAAUAUUUAUCUAAGAAACUCCUACUCGGGUGUGAACAUCCUACUUCUAGUGGGAUUUUGUUUGGCAAAGGGCUGUGAAAGAGUGGAAGCUAAUACAGAACAUGUCUAUAAACAAAUUUAUUUAGUUAGUACAGAUUGACACAUUCACUAGAGGGUUUUAGUAAUUAUAUGUGUAAAACUAUUUCCUACAGUGGUUUCCUUUUGUGAUUUUGCUAAUUUUUUCAAUCUAGGCCAUUUUCAUGCAUUGACUGUUAUAAGCCAUUUAGCCAACCAAGCUGAAAUGAACAUAUGGAGACUCUAUGCCUUCUUUCCAAUUCUUCAUGUAAACAUAAUUAUAUGGUGAUAUUAAAGAGUCAAAAUUUUAAUGAGAAAGUCAGGUAAGAUUGUCAUACCUUAAAAUAUGAUGUUGUAAACUAACUUUGGAUAAGAGAAAUUUGGGAGUUUGGCUAUGAUAAUGUACAUGAAAGUAUCUGGUAAAAGGCAAGGCCUGUAUAAAUGUAAGAUGUUUGUAUCUAUAUCCAGUAUUUAUUUUUAAGUCGAUUAUAACAACAUAUGAUAAAUGCAUAUGCUUGGAGAAUUUUAAUUUUUAACAAAUGUAUGUUCAUUGAAAUGUAUAACUUCAACUCUGGAAACAUUUUGAAUAUAAUUCUCUAAUAAUACAUAUUUCUAUUUGGAAGUGCUACUAUCGUUAAUUAUAUUAAUUAAUAACUUUUACCCUUUAAACAUUAUUUUGGUCAUUAUUAUAGCUCCCAUAAUGUUUUACAUUAAAUGCUUAGUAAAUAUUUGGUGAGUAAGUAAACACUAUUCAAGUUUGGGUAGUCCCUGCUGUGGUUUGAAUAUAGCUUGUCCCCAGCAAAACUCAUGGUAAGGACUGGUCCUCAAUUGUGGCAGUGUUGUGAGGUGGGGCCUAGUGGAGGUGUUUUAAGGACACCCACAUGAGAACUGUAUUUCUGGUAGUCACUGACUAAGAAAAUAUGUAAUGAUCAAAGCCUUCAAUAAUGUGUUUAAAUGAAUUUUAUUAAUCACAACAGUAUCUAUAUGCCAUGGAAAAACAUCAAGACAUAUCAGUUAUUUCCCCUAUAGACAGUGCUUAAUGUGCCACUCACUGGGUCUGGGGAUAGCCCAUUCUAACUGUAAGGCUUUUGGGUAACUCAGGUUCACAGGUAUGGAAAUUCUUCUCUGGCUUACAUUUGUUUAUUCAUUUGCCCAUUCAUUCAUUCACAGGUAUUUAUUAAGUGCCUCUGACAUGGCGUGCACUGUUCUAAGUGCUGGGGAUGUAUCCUGAAUACAUAAAAUCUUACUUUCUAGUGGGGUGAGAUAGUUAAUCAAUCAAUAACUACAUACAUAUAUACAUACGCACACACGCAAUGACAGUGGUGGGUAAAUGCUAUGAAGGCAAAUAAGACAGGGUGAGGGGACAGAAAGAGAUGGGGUUGGGGUGCUACUUCCCUGAUAAGGUGAUAUUUAGAGACCUGAAUAAUCUAAGGGAGGGAACCAUGCAGACACCAAAGUACAGAUGGUCUAUGAACGUUAACAGUAGAGUGUGGCUGCAUAACUGAAAUCAUAUGUAAAGGCAAACCUUGGUAGGAUGAUGGGAACACUGUGAACGUCCUGUCUUCCUUCCAGCAUUUUUCUGUGUUAUGUUCUCUUUAAAAGGCUCUGAGGAACCAGUGAAACAGUCAUGGUUCUUAUUAUCUAGGGGUCUUGCUUUGGGCCAGGGGAUAAGAAGAGUGAGAAGGUUACUUAGACAUGUGUGUGUAUGCACACAUACAUGUGCAUGCAUACACAUUCAUGCACACAUAAUGCCUUCAAAGACAAGCUUUUCAAGAAUGAUCACAGCCCUGCUUAGUCCCAUGUGAAUGACAGGGACAUAGUUUCAAACCAAAAAAGUAAGAUUAACUGAUAUUCAGUGGUCUGUGUUAAUGCUCUCAUGGACAAGGGCUGAGUGUAAAUUGUAACAACAUAUAUUUGAAAGUAAGAAAUAAAUCAUCUCCCAACCAAUUUUCCCAUUUUCCUUUUUAAUCUCUAAAUAUCACUCAAGCAGUUAAAUUAUCUUUCAUCAGAGAUGAUUAGCUUUAAGUGAUAUAUUUCCCUCACGAAGUCCUUUAAAUCCACCAGUGCCACAUAGUACAUGAACGUCUACAUGCCAAGAGGGAAAAAGUAUAACAAUCUCAUCAGUAAUGUGAAGUCACCUAAGAGUAAGAGAUGCUAUAUAUAUAUAUAUAUGUAUAUAUAUAUGUAUGUAUAUAUCUGGGGCACUUAUCUGCAAUCCUGACUUAGAUACAGCAGCAUACAAACAAACCUUUAUGAAGAUCUCAAAAUACAUCAUAUAUUGUAUGACCAACCACUCCUUUAAUUUUGAGGUCUUAUGAAGAGCUCAUUUAGCCAUAGCAACUAAUAUGAACCCUUUCAACAAGAAACACUGAGGUUUUAGUAACUGCUGAGAAUGCUAGGCCAUGGGUAAAGUCUCCUCUAAAGUAGCCUGGAUUUAGAAAUAAAUGUGAAAGUUCUGCUUCCUCUACAUAAAUAGGUUAAGUGGUAUCAAACCUGUCAGGAUAUGAGAUCAUGAAGCCAGUGAGUGCUGCCCAAUUGCGUUGGGAUUAUUUUUUCCAUAUAAGGAAAUGAAUGGAAAGAGAGUAAAAGAGACAUUAGGAACUAUAAAUCAUUCAAAGGCCUUUCAUGCUGUCAUAUGCCUAUUUUAAAAUAUAUAUAUAUACAAUAAAUACUUAGAUGAUAUAUAAAGAUAAGAAAAAUUAUUUUUUAAAAUACCAAUGAUGUAAGAGCAGUUUGAUGAUCUGUCCUUUGACACAAGAGGAACAUGAUUUCAGACAGGCCUGUUUAUCCAUUCUCCUGUGAGAUAGGAGGGAUCAUUUCUCACAUUACUAUACAUCAGCACAAGGUUACGGUGGUACCUAGGAAUACAUGCUUACAUCAGAAUGAAUUAAUCAUAUUGAGUGUUCAAUGAUGUCACUUGUUUUGGUAGAGACAGAGAUAUUACUCAAUGAAAAAAACCCAUGUCUACUAACUUUUGAAAAGAAACAUAUUGUUAAGUGGAAGGGAAUUGUUACCUGGGCAUGUUGUAUCUACCCAAAUGACAAGUGGAUUAGGUAAAAAAGUAAUUGAUGUUACUAGAAAUUUUAGAAAUAUUAAAAAAUGAAAGCCUAGUUUCAGGACAGAUACAGUUUGGUAUGCUAACAAAAUACCUUCUUGUUGGCAGCAAAUUAUUAUAAAUUGUUUUUAUAUUAGUGCUGUGAUAUAUAUCAAGAAGCAUUAGAAAUUCUAAAAUGGGUAAAAUGGGUCAAAUACAUCUACACAAAAACGGACAGACCAAAAAAAUGGUGCUCUUCAAUCUCACAAAAGACAUCCAUGAAAAAAACCCACAGCUAACAUAAGUCUUAAUGAUGGAAGUCUGAAGACUUUGCCCAUAUGAUUAGGGAUAAAGCAAAGAUAUCCACUUUUACUGCUCCUAUUUCACCAUUAAUUUCAGUGAAAUAAGGCAAGAAAACAGAAAUAAAAGGUAUACAGGAAAAUGCUGACAUAAAGCCACCUCUAUUCAGAGACAAUACAAGUAUCUAUGUAGAGAACACCAAAGACUUACUAGAACUAAUGACUUUAGCAAGGUUGCAGGAUUGCGGGAUACAAGGGCAACUUUAGAAAAAAAGGCUAUUUCUGUAUUCUAGUAAUGAAUAUGAAAUUGAAAUUAAGAAAUUAAAAAGGCAUGAAAAAGAAUUAGGGGAACUCUUAACAAAAUAUGUGCAAGACCUGUACAAUGAAAACUAUAUAAAACAUUGUUGGGAAAAAAUUUAAAAGAUCAAAAGGAGAGAUACACUCUACUAAUGGAUCAGAAGACAACAUUGUGAAGAGACUUUCCAUAAACUUAGUUAUAAAGUCAGUGCAUUUCUUUCCUAAAUCUCACCAGGCUUUUCUGUAGAAUAGUGACAAGCUGAUUCUACAUGAAAACUCAAAGAACCUUCAACAGCCAAAGAAAUCUUAAAAAAAGAAUGAAGUUGGAAGGAUAUACACUACCUGAUUUACAAAUUUAGAAUAAAGUGAAAGUAAUCAAGUCAGUGUGGCAUUGGCAUACAGAUAGGGAUGCAGAUCACUGGAACAGAUGAGAGAGCCAAAAGAGACCUACAUGUAUACAGUAUAUUUACUUUCAGCAAAGAUGCCAAGAUAAUUCAAUAGGGAAAGGAUAGUCUUCUCAACAAAUGAUAGUGGGACAACUGAACAGCUAUAUGCAAAAAAAAUGAACCUUGAUCCUUACCUCAUAUCAUAUACAGAUAUUAACUAGAAUCAUAAACCCAAACAUAAGAAACUAUAAAACUUCUAGAAGAUAAGAGAAAAUCUUUGUGACCUUACAAUAAGCAAAAUUUCUUAGCUAACACUUAUACAUAAAUAAAAACUGAUAAAUUGGACUACUUCAAAAUUACAAACUCAAGAGAAAUGAAAAUAUGCUCACAUAAAGAUUUAUAGGUGAAUGUUUACAUAUUUUAUGUAAAUUUUAUUCAUAAUUAACUAAAACUGUAAAUAACCCAAAUAUCCAUUACACAGAUAAACAAAGUGUGGUACCCACAGAAUGGAACACUCUUCAGUAAUAAAAAAGGAAUGAAUUAUUGAUACAUGCAGCAACAUGGCUAAAUUUCAAAUGCAUCAUGCUAAAUGAAAAAAGUCAGACUCAAAGUGGUACAUAUGACAUUUUAGAAAUGGGAAAAUCAUAGGGUCAAAAAUCAGAUCAUUCUGAUACCAACAUGAUAUAAAAAAAAAUCAGAUCAGUGGUUAACAGGACUGGGGGUGGCAGGGGGACAGGAACUGACAAUAAUGGAUUAUCAGCGCACUUUUUGCAGCAGAAAUGUUCUGUAUCUUAAUUGUGAUGGUGGUUAUGUAGCUAUAUACAUUUGUGAAAACAUCAAACUGUAACUCUAAAAGAAUUUUAUUGUUAUAUAAAUUAAAACUCAGUAAAAUAUGCUCAAUAUGGAACAGACUACAAAACAAACCAAGAGUGCUUUUAGAAGGGAAGGAGCUGAGAAAAGGAAGGAAGACUGGGCAGACAUAUCUAAUGCAGGGGGAAUGAGGAGAAGAGAACACGGGAGGCCCUUUGUGAACAUUUUUGUCUUUUACCAAUUGAAAUUUUUUUUUUUUUUAAGAUUAAAGAACAACUCUCCACAUCAAGAAUGAAAUUUUUAGCCUUACAGUUUCUUUGACUUUCUUGGCUUUUUCUGUGUUUCAACUGGAAAACACAUAAAUGUGACUUUCUUCUUGGUAAUUGAUAUUAAGGAUCAGAUUGAUCCCCUGGGCAUAAAUUAGGACAGUGCUCUGGGAAGUGGACCCUGGGCACCACAAUGAAAGGAUAAUAUUUUGUUUUUUGUAUUUUAUUUUGGGACUGUGCUAACUGCUAUAUCUUUUCCAAUUGUUGAUACAGUUAUUUUGCUAGGCAUAAAAUGUCAGUCUCUUUCAUGUAGAAAGGUUUUUCUUUUUUUGCAUUUCUGUAAAUGACCUGAGACUGUAAGUCUGGUGACAAUCAAAGUGUCUGCACAUUAAAGGGAAUCAGCCAUGAUUGGUUAUAACAACUCAGAUUAGCCGUUACAUAAAUAUUUACUACAAGGAACGAGAGCUGUGAAAAUAAUACUUACACUCGUAUUUACAUAUACCUAUUGCCACCUGACUCACUCUAUAGUUCUCAUGCCUGGUUGAAAACUAAUUUUUAAAUCAAAAUUUUAAAAGUUAUGGAAAGAUUUUUAAAUUCCCUCUGACUUUUCUUUUUAUGGUUUUAUUUUCCAGUGGUGAGAUGUCUACCUAAGCUACUACAGAACACUGUUAGAGACCUAUGGGUUCUACUAUUUUUUUUCUACCAUUCGUUAAAUAAAUAUUUUCAUCUAGUGUUGACAGUUAUUUGUGUCUAUAAAUUUUAUCUUUAUAACUAGACUUCUAGAGGUCUCUUUUUGAUCUACCAUAGUGACAUUUCUCAGCACUGGCUAGCUAUACAUUUGAACCACUUGGGGAGCUUUUAAAUAUCCUAAGGUCCAGACUGCACCCCAGGCCAAUUUACUUCUGGAGGAAGGGACCAGGCAUCAAUUGCUAUGUUCAGCCAGGGUGAAGAACCACAAAUCUGGAGGAGAUGGGGGGAAACCAAACCUUCAUUUGUCUUUCAAGUCCAUUCUCGCUUUUAAUUCCCUAUUGUCUUUAUCCCUUAUAAGAAAAAUAUUACAGUAAUAUUCUGUGUAUAUUUGUUGUGUGGAUCUCUGCAACUGGCCAACUGGCCUUUUCUAUAAGGGGUUGGUUUCUUGUGAGCUAGCUUAUAAGUGAGUCUUUUCUGUUAGAGACUGAUAGAUACAAAAGAAGCCCAAACUUCUAACUCUAGAGAUAUUUUCCUUGAUUUAUCUUCAUCAUUUAGUUUCAAUUGGCAUCAAUCACCAUAAAUUUUAUGUGCAUAUUUGCACAAAGUUUAUGGUUGACAAGGUAUGUCUACAAGCAUUAUCUCAUGUGAACCUCACUAUAACUCUGGAAAGCAGGUGGGAUUGCUAUGCCCAUUUUAGAUGAGAAAUGGUGGCUCAGGGAGGCUAAUGACUUUUCUAAAUCUCACAGCUCAGUGACAGAGUCAGGACUUGAAACCAGAACAUCUAACAUCCAACCAAUUAUACUUGCAGUAUUUCUUCCCACUCAACAUUCAUUUGAAGGAAAACAGAGGUGAAUGAGAGAUGACCUUCUUUUUAAAGGCAUUUUAGUCUAAAUAACUAAACUACUAAAACAAAUGUAACCUUGUAACGUUAAUUUCAACUCAAAUAUGACAUUAGAGGCUCAAUUCAGAGCUAAAGCACUGAGUACCACACGGGAGCAGUUUAAUUUAAUUUAAUGAAGUGCGUAGAUAUUAUAGUUUGUGGUCAAUAAAUGUUUGCUGAAUGAAUAAAUGUACAAAAUCCUACUUUUGGUGCAACAUAUGACUGUUUCAUAGAGCACAGCUAUAGAGAUAAGCACUCCAAAUGAAUACUAAUUUGGAUCUGCCUAUAAUUGUAAGGACCUGGAGAAAGAAUAAGAAAAGUAAUUCAGCAUUAAGGCUG